CACAAGCAUAAGCUGACCCACGCUGGGAAGGAAUUUAUCAGAACCCAGCCAUUCCCCUCCCCUCCCAGCGUGGUCAGAAGGGCCCGGGGAAGGUGUCAGAAGCCCUGGGGAACCCACAUCCGCGGGCACCCGUGGCCCAGGCACCCACUUGCGCUCAAAAUCAGGAAUGAGGCAGCGCCGAGCAGCGCAAGCACACCGGCCAGCUUCAUGGUGCAAGUGGCAGAUUUGACCAUCGGAGCUUUCUCAGGCUUCCUCCUGCUAGAGUGCUUGUGGACAUCAUGUCAGUGCCAACAAACUGCUUUCUCAGAGUAGAAGGGUGAGCUGAACUCUUAAGAAAGCCCGAGCAGACAAAGCAUCACCUCUGGUCUACCCAGCACUCUGAUCUACAGAGCUCUGGUCCACAGUGGCCUGUAGGGCUGUGGACACCUUGGGGUCCUGCCCCCCACUGUUUUCUUAUAUCACUGGGUGGGCUAUGCAAGUCCAGCCCCUCUUGGGCCACUUUUACUGAUGGAGAAGGGUGAGAUGGCCAGGAGAAGGGAUGUGGCUGGGGCCAGAGGGAGUCCAGAAGGAGCCUAGGAAUCAGCUCCCUUGGGGUGAGAGGGAAGCCGGUGGCAUGAUCCCAUUGGUGGGAAAAAUGAGAGCAAUACCAGCACCUGAGAAAAACCAUAGGCCACAAGUCCUGGGACUUCCCUGGCAGAGAGUGACUCAGAGCCCAAAGAUGGAGCCCACCUGUCCAUGGGGCCUGGUCCAGAGACUGCAGCAGUUAAGAUGUUCAAGGGGCCCAUGUCAAGCCCAGAUCCCCAUUCUUACCCCCAGGUUUUUAGCUCAGGCAAAAGUCAGUUUUCUACAUGAUCCUUUGGCUACCUACAGUGACUCCGACCUGUCCCUGACCUCGUCUGUGACUUCCAUCUGCCCGUUUGGGAAGGGUAUUUUGUUUGGAGCCAGGAUAGGUAGGGGAAAGAUAUGGCCAGGAAGCAGAGGUGACAUUUGGGGUUGGGACAACAGAGUAUUUGUUGGCCUUAGAAAGGUCAGCUCCAGUUGCUGUUUGUCAAAGAAACAACCACUUCUGUCCAAAGGCCAACGGCAUCAGGAUAAGCAUCCUAGUGGUUUUGUUUCUGACAGUGGGAAGGGCUUCCCAUGCUUAUCACCCCAGGGGCCUGAGGGAGCCACAUGUUCCAGGUCCCAGCCCGCAGGCAUGUGAACCUCCUGGAAGGGGCGCGGGCUGGGCUCAGGGAGCCGGUGGUUUAUAAAGCAGCAGAAACCCUGCCCUGAGCAGAGCAUUCCAGCAGUCAACACUAUGAAGGGGACACUGCUUGUGCUGGCCUUGCUGGUGACUGGAGAGCUGGGCUUCAAGACAGGUGAGAGCGGGAAGGAGGGAACAGAUGGCCUUUCUGACCGUGUCCCACUCUAUCUCCCUCCACCCUCCCAUGGUGAUCUCUGAGCAGCUCCUAUGGACAGACUUAGGGGGCAUCUGGGAGGUUAUUGCUCAGGGGUCUCGUAGAAAACCCUGCGGCUCUCAGGCUCUGAAUGGAGAAAGAGGAGGGGAGAGGGAGGCGUGCAGGCAGACGUGCACCCAGUAGGGGAGCCUGAGGGGAGGUAGUGGUGCAUGUUUGAAGGCCAGAAGCAUGCAGGCUGGUAUGCCUGGGGCAGUGGUCUGAGACACAAGGCUUGUUAGUCCUGGCCCCUCACACUGCUCCCUCUUCUGGGAGUGCCGCACAGAGAGGGUGCUCUCUGUCUGUGGUGUCAGCAGUCCUGGAGAAGGUCAGUCAGGAGACACUGGAGACAUGAGUCACCUUCCAAUGGUAGGGAAACACGAACCUCAGCCCCGCGACCCUGGCAGCUCCUUUAAUGAGCUGUUUUCCUGUUUGUGUUUUCAGCAGAAGCCUGCCCUACUUUUUAUGGAAUCUUUUCUUUGCUGGCCCUUGGAAACAAGAACCUGUUGGACCUCUCCCUUGAUUUUGUCAAUGCUACCAUACCAGAAAAGGCAGGCUUUGAAAAAAUCCAGGCUUGCUACAAUGAAGGGGGACGCGACGCCAAGUUCCUAGAUACGAUAGCCCUGGGCUCCAUCACCUUCAGUAAAGAUUGCCUCAAGUCUUCACUGAAAGAAGUGAAGAAUGAUAUCCAAAAAGGACUUUCCAAGCUGAACCUUUUUAAGAGAUGAAUCAUUGCCCGAUCUGAGCUCCCUCGUCCUGCCCUGUUCUCCCUCUCACCUGAAGCUGGAAUCCAGAUAUCUGUCCCCACCUGAUCCCGUCUUUAUUAGGUUGAUUCCAAUAAAACACCUGCAGCUCAGCAACGUGUGCCUGGUGUCUGUGUGAGGAGCAGGAGACUUUGGGGGAUGGUGAGGAGAUGUGACACAUGUGGCCACUGAGAGCAUGGGGACUAUAGUUAGGCAGAACUGGGAUAGGCCCUGCCACUGACGGGCAAGCCAGUUCAUCCUUCUGAGGCUGUUUCCUCAUCUGUAAAAUGAGGAUUCAGUUAAAUAACAUAUAUGUCACCCCAGGCUUCACCAGUCUGGUCUCAGCAGCCACUGGCAGCAUAUCUCUGUCUCUGGGCUUUUAUUACAGUUGCAGGUCCUGUAGCCCCAAAAUGUCACUCCAGAGAUGACCUGGGUGGGCUCAUCCCAAAUCCUCUCUUCUGUCUCCUGGUGGCAUUCGCCAUUUUCUUUUCUUUCUUUUGAGACAGAGUCUCACUCUGUCAUCAGACUAACUGAAGACUUCUCAACUGAGACCUUACAAGCCAGAAAGGAAUGGAGCCCCCUUCUCAGCCUUCUCAAACAGAAUAUGGCCAACUUUGAAUUCUGUAUCCCAUAAAACUAAGUUUCAUAUAUGAGAGGGAAAUAAAGACCUUCUCAGACAAGCAAAAACUGAGGUAGUUUGUCAAAAUAAGACCUUCCCUGCAGGAAGUAUUCAGAACUGCAUUAUAUACAGAUCAACCAGUGUAAAAUCAUCCAAAAGCUAAAGGCCAAAGGCCAGA